GACGUGGGCUUGCGGCGUGCUUGACACAUUUAAGUCGAACGGAAAGGCCCUGCAUUUGUGGUGUGCUCGAUUUGCUAACGGAUGAGUAACGCGUGAGUAACCUGCCCAUGGCUUUCGUAUAACUGCAGUAAACUGGGGCUAAUACCGGAUAGGAGCUCCUGCUGCAUUGUGGGGGUUGGAAAGUUUCGGCGGUUGGUGAUGGACUCGCGGCUUAUCAGCGUGUUGGUGGGGUAGUGGCUUACCAAGGCUUUGACGGGUAGCCGGCCUGAUAGGGUGACCGGCUACAUUGGGACUGAGAUAAGGCCCAGACUCCUACGGCAGGCAGCCAUGAGGAAUACUGCACAAUGGGCGGAAGUCUGCUGCAGCAACGCCGCGUGCGGGAUGAAGGCCUUCGGGUUGUAAACCGUUUUCGCCUGCGACGAAGCGUGAGUGACGGUAAUGGGUAAAGAAGCACCGGCUAACUACGUG
rnacentral:rRNA from 1 species